rnacentral:rRNA from 1 species
ACAGUCACACAUUAGAUACCCCCGUAGUCCUGGCCGUAAACGAUGUGGACUUGGUGUUGGAAUGGCUCCGAGCUGCUCCAGUGCCGAAGGGAAGCCUGUUAAGUCCACCGCCUGGGAAGUACGGUCGCAAGACUGAACUUAAGGAAUUGCGGGGAGCACCACAACGCGUGGAGCCUGCGGUUUAAUUGGAUUCAACGCCGGACAUCUCACCAGGGCGACAGCAGAAUGAUGGCCAGGUUGAUGACCUUGCUUGACAAGCUG